rnacentral:lncRNA from 1 species
AGUGCUGAGGUUUACCCUAGCCUUUAGUAUUUAAAAAAACAGGAGAGAAAAAUGUAUUGAUAUUCCCUUUGCUACCAUAUGUCUUUGCUUCCUAUUAAAGUAAAGCUUUCCACAAAAGCAUGUAUAUGUACUUCUUUUCUCCACUGCUUUUUUUCCAUUUUGUGGUGAUAGUUCUGAUAAAUAUCUAUUGUUAAAACCAAUAAUUUAUUUUACAUUGUCAAAUAUAACGGUAAAAUCUAAGUUAUCAUUUUUCUCAUUUAUCAAAAUUAUUUGCAUUGUUCUUGAAACACUAACUUUCCUUGGCCUUUGUGACACCAACUUUUCUUCCAUUUUCCUCUGACUUGACUGGUUUGUCUUCCCUGCCUUUUUGCUGGUUUCUCAUUCUCUUUAAUCUCUAAAUUUUAGAGUAUUUUGGAUCUCAGUUAUGGGGCCUCUUCUUUCUUAUAUCUAUAUACCAAUUUUACAUCAACUCAUAUUGUUUCAUGACUUUAAAUCCUGCAUGUCUUCUUGAUUCCAAGAAAAUUAUCUUUAGCCCAGAUGAUUUCACUGACCUACAGCCCCAUAUCUAAGACACUGUGUAAUUUACUGUUCAAAUUAGAACACUUCUGAAAUAUGAGAGUAAUGAUUUUGUGACAGCAUUUUUAAACUAGGACUGAUACUGUCUAAACAGUUUUAGAUGAUCCCACAUUUAUAUCCAAUUGCUUACUCGCCAAAUACAUUUAGAUUUUAUGACAAAGAUGGUUAGUUAUCAACAAAUAAUCCAUUUUUGCUUUCUUCUCCAGUGAUAGAACACUGGAUAUUUAGCUGAACACAUAACUUCGUAGAUAAGGACUCACUAUUCCACUGCCUCCUGCAGUUGAGUAUGAUAAGGUGGCUAAGUUUGGAACACUAAAUUAUAAAGUAAAUCCAUAUGUGUAGCUUCUAGGAAAUGACUUAAAUGGAGUGAAUAUGUCCUUCUUUUAUGAGUAGUUUGACCCUGAAUGCAUCUAGCAGACAGUUCUUCCAGGUAGAGACACAUCCAGAAACCCUAGGUUAGGAGUAUGCUUGUUCUAGGAAAAGUAAGGAAGCUAGUGAAGUAGGAAUUGGAUGUUUUGGGGGAGAGCAUGGAGAUGAGGUCUGAGAGGUAAUGGAGCCAGAUCAUAAAGAUCCUCUAGACCAAAGUAAAGAUUGGCUCUUACUCCAAGUAAAUAGAGAGGUUUUGCAAGAUUCUAAGUGGAAAAGUGACAUGAUCUGACUUUAGGUUUAGUAAGAUCUCAUUAGCUGCAAUGUGAAAAUAUACUGUGGAGGGGAAGGAUAUAGGAAAGGGUAGAAGCCAAGAGACCAGUUUGUGGGCUACUGUUUAAAUAAAGGUGAGACAUGAUUAUAAACUCAGUAUAUCCUAAAUACAAUACUUAAUUUCUCACCACUGCCCCAGCCUCAGUCAAAAUAACUCUUUCUGCAGGCUUCUGUAUCUCAGGAAAUAAGCACCUUCAUUUUUCCCAGCAUUCAGGUCAAAAACUUUUGGUUCAUUUGGAAUCAUUCAGAGAUAAAAGCACAGAGAAGCUUCUUGAUAUAUAGAUAUUAAUACAGGUUUUUCCUGCAGCCCAGUUGAAGCCCUGUCUUUCUCAGUUUUUUGUUUGUUUGUUUAGCCAUUGUUACAAUUAUGCUUGAAGAUAUAAUAUUCUCCCAAUAAAUCCUCUAUGCCAAAGCUAAUUCACACCAGUUUUAUGUCAUCAGAAGACAUUUGGUCACCAAAGUGUUUAUAAUUAUAUGCAAUUACAGGUCACUAAUCUUGCUGACUGGAAAUAAAAUCUAGUUUCUAUUAAUUAUUCAUUUUGCAAGUAAUUAUUAAGUGCCUACUCUGUGACAUUUAAUUCAAAUAUUAAAAACGAGCAAUGGCUUGGCUUGUCAUUCUUUAGAAAUGAAAUCUUCAUUAGUACUUUGGAAUUCUGAGUAUAUAAAUAUUACCCCACCAAAGAACCUGAGUUGAGAAAUAUGAGCCCACUUUUGCGUUAUGAGUUGUCAUUGCCUCUUAACUGUGUUAUACUCCUUGCCUGGAGUAUGCUAUAAAGGAAUUGAAAAUCAUCCUUAAAUAGUUUUUCUUUUAUAUUAUCUUCCAUCAUGUUCCAUCCCAAGAGAUUGCAUGUAAUUCCCUGUGCUAUACAGCAGAACAUCAUUGCUUAUCCAUUUUAAAUGUAGUAAUUUGCACCUACAAAUAUAGAUGUGUGUUCCUAUUUCUGUUUUGUAGAUAGGUUCAUUUGUGCCAUAAUACGCUUUUAAAAAACGUGAUUUCCCAACAAAGAGAUGACGGUGAUUACUAAAGUUAUAUUUUAUUUUAUUUUUAAUUUAUUUCAAUUUAAUUUAUUUAUGAUUAUUGCUUUUUGCUUUUUAGGGCUGCGCUUGCAGCAUUUUGGAGGUUCUCAGUCUAGGGAUUGAAUUGGAGCUACAGCUGCCGCCCUAUGCCAGAGCCACAGCAAUGCCAGAUCUGAGUGGUGUCUGUGACUUACGACACAAGCUCAUGGCAUUGCCAGAUCCUUAACUUACUAAGUGGGGCCAGGGAUCAAACCUGUGUCUCAUGGAUACUAGUUUGGUUCAUUAUCACCGAGCUACAUCGGGAAUUCCCCUAAAGUUAUAUUUUAAAGAUUUCAUUACUAUUACUUGCAUUUUUGCAUUUUAUAUCAUAACAGAACAAAUGUAUUUGAAAGGAAUUUAUGUAAUUUAACUUGUGUUUUUUUUUUGUUGUUGUUGUUGUUUUUGUCUUUUGCCAUUUCUUGGGCCGCUCCCGCAGCAUAUGGAGGUUCCCAGGCUAGGGGUCGAAUCGGAGCUGUAGCCACCGGCCUAUGCCAGAGCCACAGCAACGCGGGAUCCGAGCCGCAUCUGCGACCUACACCACAGCUCAUGGCAACGCCGGAUCGUUAACCCACUGAGCAAGGGCAGGGAUCGAACCCGCAACCUCAUGGUUCCUAGUCAGAUUUGUUAACCACUGCGCCACGACAGGAACUCCUAAGUUGUGUUUUUUAAAGUGGUACAUAUCCAAAAAGUCAUACUAACAUCUCUGGGCUAAUACCAGGAGACACCAUGUACACAAAUAUUAUGGUAUGUUCCCUUAACCCUGUAUAGUUCAACAUAGACAAUAUAAAAGUAUAAAUUAAAGUAAGGGAUUCAAAUAAUUAUAACUCUUCACCCGAUUAAUAGGAUGCUUUUCCUUAAAUAUCAAUUUCUUCGUCAAUCAAGUGGGUGGUGUAGCCCAGAGAGAGAUAACUACUUCUGGGAUUAUCUCACUUGUCCUGAAAUCUAGAUAAUUUUCAAAGAACUUAAAAGUAUUAGCUGUCGGAGGAGUAAUUCAACUAGUUUGAAAUUAGGUAAGUAAAAUUCAGGGGAUUAAAAAAGAAAAACAAUUAUUACAAGGUAUGAUUACUAAACUCCAUGUCUGUAUAAUUCUGGAAUUCAAAGAAUUUAGUUUUGCUGAUAUUUUUAAUUCACUUGUGGAUGACUCUACAUUUUCAAAUAAUUUUAAUUCAGCUUUAAAUGAAUAUAGUAUGUUUCCAAAUUUAUUUAACUCCCAAUUGAGAAAUAAUAUGAGGAAAUGAUUAAAAUUUCUUCAUGCUAUCUCAAAGGCACAGAUUACAGACAGAAAAAAAAUAGAUCUCUCUGAAAUGCUAUUCUUCAGCUUACUAAGGGAUACCUCUGAUCAUUAGGACUUGCUUUUUUUGUUUAAAAACUGGAAAGAUUGAUUAGGUUUACGCAUAAUAAUACAUUACCUAAAUUCUUUUUUGUGACUCAAGAGUGACAUAAAUGUCAUAUGCAUUUAAAUAAAGCACAUCUUUACAGGUUAUUCUUCCCCGUUGGGAACACAGUAAUAGUUAUACCUUUCUUUUUUUACUGUUUUAUUAAGAUUAAUAGUCAUAAUCUUUUUAUUCUUCUGUGUUCCGGGAGCAUGAUUUAGGAUGGAAUACAUUUUAUAUAUUUUUAAAUUAAGUACCUAUAAUGAUAUCCAAAUCUUUAUGCCAUCUUAUAUUAAUUUUAUUUAGAGGAACACAUUAAACUAACACAUGUAAACAAUUCAUAAACCAUUUUAAAAUGCUGGGAAUUAAUUUAAUCUAAGCUUUCAUUUUAUCUAUUGCUAUAGAACAUAACACGUGUGUCAUAUUUUUAUUAUCAUUAUUACUCUCACUUUUAUUUUAUAAAAGAACAUUUUACUUUACUUUUUAUGUAGUGGAAUGUAUGAACAACUAGCAGGUAAAAUGAUUUAAAAACACUACAUCAUGGAGUUUCUGGUGGUCUAAUGGUUAGUAUUCAGUGCUUUCACUGCUGUGGCUCAGGUUCAGUCCAUGGUCUGGAAACUGAGAUCCCACAUAAAGCCACUGCACACUGUAGCCUAAAUAAAUAAAUAAAUAACACUACAUCAAUAUAUUUAUUUAAAUCAUAAAGUCCUUAUUUUUUGUCCUAAGAUAAUCUCCAUAUAUUGAUACCAUGCAUGUUUAUAUU